rnacentral:rRNA from 2 species
GAGUAAUGUCUGGGAAACUGCCUGAUGGAGGGGGAUAACUACUGGAAACGGUGGCUAAUACCGCAUAACGUCGCAAGACCAAAGAGGGGGACCUUCGGGCCUCUUGCCAUCAGAUGUGCCCAGAUGGGAUUAGCUUGUUGGUGAGGUAACGGCUCACCAAGGCGACGAUCCCUAGCUGGUCUGAGAGGAUGACCAGCCACACUGGAACUGAGACACGGUCCAGACUCCUACGGGAGGCAGCAGUGGGGAAUAUUGCACAAUGGGCGCAAGCCUGAUGCAGCCAUGCCGCGUGUAUGAAGAAGGCCUUCGGGUUGUAAAGUACUUUCAGCGGGGAGGAAGGUGUUGUGGUUAAUAACCGCAGCAAUUGACGUUACCCGCAGAAGAAGCACCGGCUAACUCCGUGCCAGCAGCCGCGGUAAUACGGAGGGUGCAAGCGUUAAUCGGAAUUACUGGGCGUAAAGCGCACGCAGGCGGUCUGUCAAGUCGGAUGUGAAAUCCCCGGGCUCAACCUG